UAAACAUUUCUUUUGCAGAAGUCAUUGGUUGGUCUGAAAUUUGACAAACGUGUCAAGAUGUAACAUUCGUGAUGUAACAUUCGUUACCGAGAAAUUAAUUAAAGGGAAUGAUAGAACAAUUUCCGGCGUAUUUUUGCUCUCUCUCUGCAUGAUGUGGUAUACGACAUGAACGUCUACUAUGAACAUUUGAGUUUGAAAGUCAAUACGUGUUAAACUUUGAGAAUUAUGAUUAAUUUUCUCUUACGAAAUGGCGCUUGUGAGAGUAGAAGUACAGAAUAACUACCAUGAAAAAAAAUGUAUUAAAACAUAAGAACAACCAUGAAAAAA